rnacentral:rRNA from 1 species
GACGAACGCUGGCGGCGUGCUUAACACAUGCCAGUCGAACGGAAAGGCCCUGCUUUUGUGGGGUGCUCGAGUGGCGAACGGGUGAGUAACACGUGAGUAACCUGCCCUUGACUUUGGGAUAACUUCAGGAAACUGGGGCUAAUACCGGAUAGGAGCUCCUGCUGCAUGGUGGGGGUUGGAAAGUUUCGGCGGUUGGGUAUGGACUCGCGGCUUAUCAGCUUGUUGGUGGGGUAGUGGCUUACCAAGGCUUUGACGGGUAGCCGGCCUGAGAGGGUGACCGGCCACAUUGGGACUGAGAUACGGCCCAGACUCCUACGGGAGGCAGCAGUGGGGAAUAUUGCACAAUGGGCGGAAGCCUGAUGCAGCAACGCCGCGUGCGGGAUGACGGCCUUCGGGUUGUAAACCGCUUUCGCCUGUGACGAAGCGUGAGUGACGGUAAUGGGUAAAGAAGCACCGGCUAACUACGUG